rnacentral:rRNA from 1 species
AAGCACCGGCUAACUCCGUGCCAGCAGCCGCGGUAAUACGGAGGGUGCGAGCGUUAAUCGGAAUUACUGGGCGUAAAGGGUGCGUAGGUGGUGCCAUAAGUUAUCUGUGAAAUGCCUGAGCUUAACUUAGGGAGUGCAGAUGAUACUGUGAUGCUAGAGUAUGAGAGAGGGUAGUGGAAUUUCCGGAGUAGCGGUGAAAUGCGUAGAUAUCGGAAGGAACACCGGUGGCGAAGGCGGCUACCUGGCUUAAUACUGACACUGAGGCACGAAAGCUUGGGGAGCAAACAGGAUUAGAUACCCUGGUAGUCCAAGCUGUAAA